GGAGCCGCCUCGCGAGGGGCCCCAGUCGAGGAGCCCGCCUCUUCGGCGCUCCUCAUCGUCAUGUUGCUCAAGGAGGAUAUGGCUAUGAGAA
rnacentral:sRNA from 1 species